CACCAUUCGUUUCUUCCUACUCAGCUAUCGUCCGUAUAAGGUAAUUUCCCCACCCCAAAAUGUAAUUAAAUUUGGUUUUUUACUCCAAUCUGAUGAUUUUGUUUCAAGCUGGGUAUUAUUGUUUUUAUUUUGUUAGAAACCCUAGCUACUGAAAUUGAAGAGAUGGACCUGAUUUCGCAGCUUCCUGAAUCUAUUGUUCCUCGCAUACUCUGUUAUUGCCCUCCUGCAGAGCUUGUUCGAAUGAGUGUCUUGUCUAAGACAUGGUUUCGUCUAACUGCCUCUUUCCCCCUUUUAGAUUUCACUAUUUAUAAAUUUAAAUCUCGAAACAAUUUUUUCAAGUAUGUUGAGUAUACCACCUCUAGAUUUUGCAACCAAAAUCUCACUGCAUACACAUUAAGGCUCAUUACAGAUCUCAGGGAGCCUGCAGAAUUGGAUAUUGUUAACAGAUGCCUUGAAUUACUUCUUCAGAAUGGCGUGUAUGAUUUGGUGAUUAAUGUCGUUAACUUAUCAGAAUCCCCUUCUGCUUCUUCUGCUAAGUAUCGUUUGCCUAACAUACUCUUAUCUGUUUCUGCGUUAACAUCUUUGAUCAUACAUGGUUGUGACUUGCCUUCUUCCUUCAUGGUUGAUGCUCUCAAGUUUAAGUCUUUGACUCGGUUGAAACUCGAAAACAUCCAUAUAGAUGAUGAAGUGAUCACGUAUCUUACCACUAGUUGCCCUCUUCUCCAAAUACUUUGGGUCUUCUAUUGUCAUGGUCUCAAAACAUUUUGUGUUUAUGGGCAUCAUCAACAUCUUCGAAGUGUUUCGAUUAAGUAUAACACCCCAUUUGAGAAAAUAGAUAUUGAAGCUCCAAAUCUAUAUUUGAUGAAUGGACUUAUUCUAACAUAGAUGAUCCGUAUAGUUUACAUAUGAGAGACUACUUGCACAAGAAGAUCAAGGUCGUACCAAUAUUCAGAUCGUGUCGCCUUCUUUUUCUUCGUUGUUAAUGGCCUUACCUCAUGAAGGAAAAGCAAUUAGCUUCAUAAAGGAAGAAGUCCUCCAAAGGUUUGCGGGUUUAGAGAUUGUCUGAUGCGUUGGAUUUUGGAAUCUAUCGGUGGGGACAAGGGAGUGAAAGCUAUCGGUAAAAAAAUAGAGUUUAACAAAUUGCUGUUAACCGUUCGUAAAUAUUCUGCGUUUUGAUAUUUACAUAUGUAGGGAUGGUUUUGAAUCAUGACCAUGAUGUGUUGUUGACCAUUACUUUAUUACUGAUUGUUUAGAUAAUAUAUCUUUGGGCCGUAUUUGAUGCUUACUUUGGUGUUGGUGUUUUUGAUCUUUAACUUUAAGAUCAUCCUUUCAUUUCAUUGAUUUUGAAGAACAAAGUGGUUUUGUUAAGUGUAAUAUGUGCUCUCUUUGGGUCACAUAUUGAAAGGUUAAACGCCACAUCAUAAUCAUAUAUAAUGAGGAAAAUAAGUUGAAUGAGAUAUUAACACGUUUAUAAGAUUGAAAACGAAUUUGAGGAUGUGAUAUAGCAGCUGAUUCAUCUAGCUUUCAUAUCACUAAUUCUCAAAGGCCUUCUCAUGACUUUGUUCCCACGGUCCACAUAACUAUUAGACUGAUGGUUUCAAGCCUCAAUUUCUUUUCAUGACACAUUUUGAAAAAAAAUGCUCUCAAGGUGUUUUAAAUUUUUAGUACCAGGAAACAUAAGUAUCUUAGGCUAAUAGGAUCCCAUGAUGAAUAACAUAACUGUUAAUUACUUUAUGUGCUCUGUGAAAAGGAGUCACAACUUGGAUUUUAUUAUGCUUAUGGGAAUAAUUACAACCCAUUAUUGUUAUCGCCCGGCAUAUAUAUACGCAAGAAGAGUUAAGUUUCAUGCAGGUAGCACAAGGUUGAUGAUUAAGAAGAGUGGUUAUACACACACAUACAUUCAUUACCUAGCAAAAUUUUUCUACAAAAUUUAUUACAAGUUCAAUACUACUAACAUUUAUUAGUGGCAUUCAACCGGGGGGAUAGCAUGACGUAGUAUCACCGACAUCAAACGUGGCACAUAGUUGAUAUGGAACUUACCACAAGUGCUAGCUGACUUAGCUUCUUCCGAGUCAUGGAUGCAACUACGCAGUACACAUAUACUAUUAGUGUAAGAUUAAAUAUUUAAAUAUAUUAUGAUGUAAUAAUUAAUCUAGUAGCAAUUAUAAUCAUUUACAUUAUGUAGAUCAAAAUAUAUAACAACCUAUUAAAUAAUUAGUUGGUAAUUGUUGAUGGGCUUUAUUACCAUUAUUAACUAAUUAGGGUUUCCUCUUGGGUGCAUAUAUAAGGAAACUUAUGUAGAGGUUCUAAGGUUAACACACAUAACCUAAUUAUCAUAACAUCAAAUCGCCUCCUCUCCUCAACCGUUUACCCUUUAUCGGUUUUCAUCAUCACCAUCAUUAGAUUGCACCCUAAGGAGGAACCAGACCAAGCUGACAAUCAUGUCAAACACUAUUGUUGCGUCUUCAUCUGGAUUCUCUGCUGGCCUGUACUGCUGCAAUCAGGUAUGUUGUUCAUGUUUUCCAUUAUGCCUAAAACAGAACUGACCAACAAUUAGUAUAUUGCAUGGCUCGAUGCAGAAAGGGUUGGAUUUAUAAGAGUUGGUUUGGUCCUACUCAUAAACAGUUAACAAACAAUAUGAUACAAGUAAAUGUAAUCAAAAUUUACAUUCGAAUUUAGUUAAUUUAUAAAUCUACAUUGAUAUACUGAUCAUAUACUUCUCAAAUUUUAGUAUACGCCUGCAAUUUAACUUUCGUUUUAACGAUUGUUUUAAGUGUUAUAAAGAAAUUAUUUAUGAUGACUCUCCACGUUCUUAACUACCGUCUCUUCAUGUACUCUUGUAUUAAUAACAUGACCUAUAUAUAUAGGUCCUUUGUAUUUGAUAUGAUAUACUCAACAUCAAUAAGAAAUUUAUUCUCCCAUUCUCCCAUUUUUUCUAUACAUUGCUAAUAGAUUUCUAGUUAUUAUAUAACACGUUAUCAGCAUGAAUGCUUUUAAAGUUGGAUCAUGUUAUCGUAAGUCAAAGUGAUCUCACAUGAACAAGGAUCAAGGUAUGAUUCGAUUUCCUUUUCUUCUAAAAUGUUCUAUCAAUGCUAACUUAUUAGGUUUGGUAUUCAAAUCUGAAUAUGAGAUUGUGGAAGAUUACCUGGAACCAUAUUUUCUUGAAAGUUGUUACAUGUGAAUGUGGUACUGUGACAACCCGAAUUUUCAAGGUUAGCAUUGUCUUCGUGACAGACUUGUAUCGUUACUAUUCAUGUCCUAGUACUUAUAUUCUAUUACACGUCGUUAUAAUGAUCACAUCACAUAAACUUGUAAACUUGUUGAAUUAUAUUGAAUUACUGAUUUAAUAG